AAUUUUCAAAAAAAAAAAUAUUGAACAAAGUUUACAAAGUUUUAAUGACUACUAUACUUGUCUACUAGUCUGAUGACCUAGAAUCUAAUUAGUCAAAUUUUGAAUUGAACGAAGAGACUCUGCUUCUAUCUGCAUAUAUAUAUUAUAUAUAACAAUAACAAAAACACAGAAGUGUAAUAAGGACCCUACAAUGUGACUAAUUAAUGCACAUAGUCUAAUACUUCCAAGGAAUGUGAGACUAUUUUUGAUAUAGCUGUUGAUAGAGCUUACAUUUGAUUGUUUGUUAUACUGAAGUUAAGAAUUGUUGUAUUUCUUCAAUCCGUACACAACUUAACACUAAUCUUCAGGAAAUAUCAAAUCUAUUAGAUGCUGGAAACACCGGAACCUUUCUAAAUAAAGUAGACUAGCAGCUUUAGGUAAGAACUGAAGAUUCUUUGAACUCUCUUCAUUGCUUUAAAAGGUCUUUAGGGAAUUAUGAAAAAAUGAAAGAAAAAAAAGCUGUGGUUUGAUGCCAGAACACCUGUAAGUUUACUCUGAUCAAGAACUGUGCUUUUCUGAACAUUCAAAGUUCUAUUGCAAUCCAUAAUACAGGAAAUCAAAAUUAAUUGUCUUUUCCCAAGUUUUUCUUGUUAAAGAACCCAUUGUGUUCCCAAGUGUUUCCAUCAGUUAGAGAGUCAUUCUCAAUUGUGUUUCUCCACGUGUUUCUAUUGGUCAGAGAGCCCAUUGUGUUUUCCCAAGUGUUUCUGUUUGUUAGAGAGCACAUUGUGUUUUCCCAAAUGUUUCUAUUUGUUAGAGAGUGCAUUGUGCUUUCCCCAAAUGUUUCCAUCAGUUAGAGAGUUCAUUGUGUUUUCCCAAGUGUUUCCAUUAGUUAGAGGGCCCAUUGUGUUUUCCCAAAUGCUUCUAUUAGUAAGGGACCCCAUUGUGUUUUCGCAAGUGUUUGUAUACGUUAGAGAGCACAUUAUGUUUUCCAAAGUAUUUCCAUUAGUUAAAAGGGCCAAUAGUGUUUUCCCAAAUGUUUUCUAUUGGUUAGAGAUACCGUUUUGUAUUCCCCAAUUGUUUCCAUUAGUUAGAGAGCCCAAAUGUUUCCGUUGGUUAAAUAGCAUAUUGUGUUUUCCAAGUGUGUCUAUUAGUUAGAGAGCCCAUUGUGUUUUCCCAAAUGUUCGUAUUGGCUAGAGAGCCAAUUGUGAUUUUUCAAAUGCUUCUGUUGGUUAGAGAGCACAUUUAAUGUUUCCCAAGAGUUUCCAUUAGUUAGAGAGCCCAUAUUUUUUCCCCCAAAUAUAGCACUCUGUGUUUUCCCAAGUGUUUCCAUGAGUUUGCGAGCCCAUUGUGUUUUCCCAAAUGAUUUUAUUGGUUAUAGAACCCAUUGUGAUUUCCCAAAUGCUUCUAUUGGUUAGAGAGCCCGUUUUGUAUUCCCCAAUUGUUUCCAUUAGUUAGAGAGCCCAAAUGUUUCCGUUGGUUAAAUAGCAUAUUGUGUUUUCCAAGUGUGUCUAUUAGUUAGAGAGCCCAUUGUGUUUUCCCAAAUGUUCGUAUUGGCUAGAGAGCCAAUUGUGAUUUUUCAAAUGCUUCUGUUGGUUAGAGAGCACAUUUAAUGUUUCCCAAGAGUUUCCAUUAGUUAGAGAGCCCAUAUUUUUUCCCCCAAAUAUAGCACUCUGUGUUUUCCCAAGUGUUUCCAUGAGUUUGCGAGCCCAUUGUGUUUUCCCAAAUGAUUUUAUUGGUUAUAGAACCCAUUGUGAUUUCCCAAAUGCUUCUAUUGGUUAGAGAGCCCAUUGUGUUUUCCCAAGUGUUUCCAAUAGUCAAGAAGCUCAUGGUGUUUCUGUUGGUUAUCACAUUGUGUUCUCCAAAGUGCUUCUAUUGGUAAGAGAGCACAUUGUGUUUCCCCAAGUAUUUCCAUUAGUUAGAGAGCACAUAUUGUGUUUUCCCAAGUGUUUCCAUUUGGUUAGAGAGCACAUAUUGUGUUUCCCCAAGUAUUUCCAUCAGUUAGAGAGCACAUAUUGUGUUUCCUCAAGAGUUUCCAUGAGUUUGGGAGCCCAUUGUGUUUUCAGAAAUGUUUUUAUUGGUUAGAGAACCCAUUGCGAUUUCCCUAAUGCUUCUAUUGGUUAGAGAGCCCAUUGUUUUUUCCCAAGUGUUUCCAAUAUUCAAGAAGCCCAUGGUGUUUCUUAAGUGUUUCUGUUGGUUAGAUAUCACAUUGUGUUUUCCCCAAGUGCUUCUAUUUGUUAGAGAGUACCUUGUGUUUCCCCAAGUAUUUCUAUUAGUUAGAGAGCACAUAAUGUGUUUUCCAAGUGUUUUGAUUUAGUUAGAGAGCACAUAUUGUGUUUUCCCAAGUGUUUCAAUUUAGUUAGAGAGCAUAGUUAUUAUGAAAUAAGUCUUCCUGUGAUAA
rnacentral:lncRNA from 1 species